UACGUAGGGUGCGAGCGUUGUCCGGAAUUAUUGGGCGUAAAGAGCUCGUAGGCGGUCUGUCGCGUCUGCUGUGAAAACCCGAGGCUCAACCUCGGGCCUGCAGUGGGUACGGGCAGACUAGAGUGCGGUAGGGGAGAAUGGAAUUCCUGGUGUAGCGGUGGAAUGCGCAGAUAUCAGGAGGAACACCGAUGGCGAAGGCAGGUCACUGGGCCGCAACUGACGCUGAGGAGCGAAAGCAUGGGGAGCGAACAGG
rnacentral:rRNA from 1 species